rnacentral:tRNA from 1 species
GUCUCUGUGGCGCAAUCGGUUAGCGCGUUCGGCUGUUAACCGUAAGGUUUGUGGUUCAAGCCCACCCAAGGACG